UAUACUGACCCUGGUACUGGCGGUUAUAGAAGUGAUAUGUCUCGGAUUACUGUCUCUGGUUCUGUCAGUUGCGUACUGUUGCGACUAUGGAACUGCAUGUACCUUCUACACAUCCGCGAACGCAGCUUCAAUUGAAAACAUGUGCAGACAUGGCUUCCAGGGAGCUGUGUUUAACGUGAUCGGGUCAUUUAUUGGUUUUAUGGUCGGUCACUUAGUGAUUCAGGCAGUUGUCAUCUGUCUGGUCGAUCGUAUCUACAAACGUAUGUCAGCUGAUGAUGACGCCCCAUAUG